rnacentral:piRNA from 1 species
UCUCUGAGCCUCGGUGUGCUCACCUGCAGAAC